rnacentral:rRNA from 1 species
AUUGAACGCUGGCGGCAGGCUUAACACAUGCAAGUAGAGCGAGCGGCGGACGGGUGAGUACUGUCUGGGAAACUGCCUGAUGGAGGGGGAUAACUACUGGAAACGGUAGCUAAUACCGCAUACCAUCAGAUGUGCCCAGAUGGGAUUAGCUAGUAGGUGGGGGAAUGGCUCACGUAGGCUACGAGCCCUAGCUGGUCUGAGCGGAUGACCAUCCACACUGGAACUGAGACACGGUCCAGACUCCUACGGGAGGCAUCAGUGGGGAAGAUGGCACAAUGGGCGCAAGCCUGAUGCAGCCAUGCCGCGUGUGUGAAGAAGGCCUUCGGGUUGUAAAGCACUUUCAGCGAGUAGGCGUUACUCGCAGAAGAAGCACCGGCUAACUCCGUGCCAGCCGCCGCGGUAAUUC